CGGAAAGUAAGAGUUGGGAUUCUUCUUCGGACCGAGGGAGUAUUACUGCUGCACGUUCCUUUCGUCUUCCCCUUCUUCUCGCUGCGACUCGGCAACUACACUCCCCCGGACCACCGGAGCGUGGAUCCGUGAUGACAGACCUUCCGCUUCCAUGCAUGUCUUAUUCAGGGCGCGGGGUGGUCGCUGGUCCGCCCGGUAGAUGUUCGACGAAUUGCCGCAAUGGUGCUGCACGGCAGAUGUUCGACUAAAACGCCUCUGGAAGACGCGUUCAAGCUGUUAGCCUAGUUGUCUCGUGGAGUGCGGUCUGGUGGCUCUUGGCCACGAUGGCGCGAACUAGACACGUGGCUGGGGUUUCAGUGCUGGAUGCCAUGUAUGUCUCUCGCCAAGCGUUUCACUGUUUGUCCUCUUCUAUACAUGUACUGCCCAUUGUGGUGUUGCUUGACCAUGUACGCGUUGAGUGUCUUAGUUACAAGGGGAGAUUAGACUCCGGAUUACACUAUUGCAACUGGCCUCAAAGGUACUGGAAAUGGAAGUCAACUAGAGCAAAUAGUUCUGGUACUUAUAUGAGCAACUGAACGGGAAACAUAUAGCAAGGAGCACUAAUUAUGUGGAAAAUUUGUCUUGCUGUCUAGCCAAUCUGGAGGAACGAGUUGGAUAGAGCCACAAGGUACAUAGUAAUUUUUUCAUGAGUUCUUAUAGAUGCUUAUGGAAUAAUUAAUUGAUCCUACAAAUUACAUUGAAAGUAAUCAAUGACCAAA